AGCGUGCUAGUGUUUAGCAGCAGCAGCAGCAGCAGGAGGUGAUGCUAACCUAUAUGAGAGAUCGAACGCUUUAGAUGAUGGUACUCCAUUCAUUCUAAAUUAUAGAUAUUUUGAUUUUUCUAAGUUCAUAGCUUUUGCUAUACAUCUAGAAUGUACUCUAUGUCUAGGUGUAUAUCAAAAUAUAUGAACUUAGGAUACCAAAACGACCUAUAAUUUGGGACGAAACGGAGGAAGUAUUAGAUUAGUAGUAUUUCAGCUUUGUAGUAUAGUUGCCUGCUGUAAGUCAUGUCUGGAUUGAUGACUGCGGAUGUUUGUCUUUUGGGGCUAAUUCAGGUGUUAGUGGUGUGGUUAGCUAGAGCCUAGAGCCUAGUAUAGUCGUUGAUUUACUUGUAAGCAAAGUGAUUUCAUGGAACAGUAAAGCUAAAGCAGAGUGAAAUCCAUGGAGCCUUCACUUAGAGGGGUCGUUUAGCUGCACGCCUGCACAUUCAAACUGUGCAAUGGUGAUAUGCAAACAGAGGAGCUGAAGAAAUUUAAGGUGAUACUGCUAUUAUAUCUUACAGUUAAUAAGGCCCACUGUUCACUGAUGCCAGAAACUUUGAGCUGAUUCUCUUUUUCUGAAGGAAAAACUACAAAAUAUUGGGCUGUCAUUCUGCCUGCACCAUCUGGCCUUUGGCAUUUUGGGCCAAAUUGUUUUCUCCACUUGGCCUAACUCCAGCCCAAUUUGGGUCGCACACUCUUCAGCGUCUUCUAUUCUAUGGCCGCCUGGCCGGAGAUCCCUUUCCUCCGCCACUCCAAAUGCUAUGCGCCUUCCCGCCUUCCUCGCCGACCAGCGCCGCCUCCGCUGCGUCCUCUCCUCCUCCAGCGCCACGCUCGCGACGCUCACCCGCCUCCACGCCCUCCUCAUCGUCUCCUCCUCCCACCAUCUCCUCGCAUCCCUCGCGGCCUCCUACGCCCGCGCCGGCGCGCUCGACGCCGCGGAGUCCACCCUCGUGAACUCCCCCGCCUCCCCUUCCUCAAUAGCCGCCUGGAACGCGCUCCUCGCCGCGCACUCCCGGGGCGGCUCCCCUGGCACCGCGCUCCGCGUCUUCCGCGCCCUCCCGCCCGCCGCGCGCCCCGACAGCACCACCUUCACGCUCGCGCUCUCCGCGUGCGCGCGCCUCGGGGACCUCGCCGCCGCGGAAAACAUCAAGGACCGCGCGUUCGAGGCCGGUUACAGAAAGGACGUAUUUGUUUGCUCGGCGCUGCUCCAUCUCUAUUCAAGAUGCGGCUCCAUGGGGGGCGCCGUCAAGGUUUUCGAUAGAAUGCCGAGGAGGGACCGUGUAGCGUGGAGCACGAUGGUUGCUGGGUUCUUGAGCGCUGGGAGGCCUCUGGAGGCGCUUGAUAUGUACAUGAGGAUGAGGGAGGAUGGCGUGGAGGGGGACGAGGUGGUCAUGGUUGGGGUUAUACAAGCCUGCGCGGCAGUGGGGAAUGCCCAAAUGGGGGCCUCAGUUCAUGGGUAUCUACUGCGGCAUGGUAUGAGGAUGGAUGUUUUUACAUCAACUAGCCUUGUGGACAUGUACGCCAAGAACAGGCAGUUUGAUGUGGCACGCCGAGUGUUUAGAAUGAUGCCUUACAGGAAUGCUGUCUCAUGGAGCGCGCUGAUUUCUGGGCUUGCACAGAACGGGCAUGCAGAUGAGGCACUUGACUUGUUCAGAGAGAUGCAGGUUUCUGGGCUUCAGCCUGAUUCAGGAGCACUUGUUAGUGCGCUGCUAGCUUGUGCUGAUAUGGGACUCCUGAAGCUAGGGAAGUUGAUACAUGCUUUCAUCCUAAGGAGGCUUGAGUUUGACUGUAUUUUGGGCACAGCAGUCAUUAACAUGUACUCAAAAUGUGGCUCCCUAGCAAGUGCUCAAAUGCUUUUCAGUGGGGUUGGCUCGGGAGACUUGGUUUUCUGGAAUGCAAUGAUUGCGUGUUAUGGUGCUCAUGGACGAGGUCGUGAUGCUCUGGCUCUGUUCCAAGAAUUGAAUGAUACAGGAAUAAGGCCUGACCAUGCCACAUUUGCUUCUCUUCUGUCUGCUCUAAGCCACUCUGGUCUUGUGGAGGAAGGCAAAUUCUGGUUUGAUCGCAUGAUUAAGGAGUUUGGCAUUGAACCUGCAGAGAAGCACUAUGUAUGUAUAGUUGAUCUUUUAGCACGUUCCGGUCUUGUGGAAGAAGCCAACGACAUUCUAGCAUCAAUGCAAACUGAACCGACCAUUGCAAUUUGGGUCGCUCUGCUUUCAGGUUGCUUGAAUAACAAGAAGGUAGAGAUUGGAGAAACUAUAGCAGAAAAGAUCCUUGAGUUGCAACCUGAAGACAUAGGUGUCCUUGCGCUGGUCUCAAAUCUCUAUGCUGCUGCAAAGAAGUGGGACAAGGUCAGGGAGGUUAGGAAGCUAAUGAAGAAUAGCGGCAGCAGGAAAAUACCUGGCUAUAGCUUGGUCGAGGUGCGUGGAACACGUCACUCGUUUGUGAUGGAAGACCAGAGCCACCCUCAGCACCAGGAGAUCCUGAAAAUGGUCGCGAAGCUUGAUUCCGAGAUGAAG
rnacentral:lncRNA from 1 species